UUUGAAUUGAAACUGCUUUCACACGUUGCAGCCAGAUCAUGUUUUUUUGGCUGUCACUGGGAUAUUGUGAUGAAAUGCCAUGGUUUUUCCCAGUUGCAGCAAAAUCAUAGCAUUUUGCCACAGUUUCGCAGUACUUAUGGCCAUAUGUGAAUGUACCUUUGGUAUUCAGCUGAUCUCCGUGGGUUCAGGUCCUGAGAGUUCAUCUGUCUACACAUCACCGUUGCAAUAAGCGCUACAGGGGACAAUAAGUACUCGUCUGCCAUUUUCAUUAAAUCGUUUUUUUUACAAGUUGCCUGCACUCACAGGACAGUUAUGUCCCAACCAUACAUCCUCCUUACAACGUUCUUAAGAUAAGAGGACGUCUCAGAGCUCCUUAUGUUGAAACCAUAAGAAAACAACUCGGUGCAACUCAAGAAGAUGCCACAAAUGGACACUCAUCACAUUAGAAAGGGAGAAGAUAAGAAUCUGUUAUACAAAGUGCUGCUGAAGUGAGGAGACUUCUACACACUGAUGCUUUGAGUGAAGAGCUUGCAAACUAGAUUCUGCUCAGUCCAGCAGGAGCUCUUCACAUGUGAGGGGCUGUCCCCAAAGGAGAAGAAGCGCCCUCCUGC